rnacentral:ncRNA from 1 species
AAUUUUUACACCGAGCUGUAAUUGCUAACACCAACGUUUUCAAAAUGAAGGUUAAGUAGUUAUAAGCCGUAGCAGGUAUUCAGAAUCACUUGCUACCAGGGUUAACAAGGAAACACGUUAGCCUCCCACAUUUGGAAAGGUGACAUGUUAA